GAGACACCUUUAUGGAGCAGGACUUUCUUCAGUGGGGCUUUGGUGUUCACUGAGACUGCCUCUUGAGUCUGUCACU
rfam:Myotis davidii contig20153, whole genome shotgun sequence.